UUCCACAAUUCACGUGAAGAAGUUGAAUUGUUCUAUGGACAGCACAUCAUUGCCGUAUUCCUAGUUGCUUCAUACCUAAUCGCCAUGACGCCACCAAUUGACAAAAUUGUCCCUCUUUAUUAUUUUUAACGGGGGACAGAUAAUAACAAUAUCUCCUCUAACUUUAAACAUGCCGCACCUAACGUUACACGUCAUUAGAUCUAUACCGUCAACCCAAGAAAUCUUAGCCGUCCAUUCCUUACAAAACUAUUAUAAAAGAUAGGUUUGAGACCUUAUAUUUUAUCGCUCAGCAGUUUCAAGGGGUUCACCGUUUUCUAAACCUUCUCCGUCUCUUCUUAAAUUUCAGAUCUAUUGCGAAACUUCUCCGGCUGCCUUCAAUUGAUCCCAGAUUUUGACAGAUCUGAUGGAGAUCUUUACUCUGAUCGUCCAAUUGAUACCGGAUAUUCACAGAUCUGAUCUAAACACAGAUUGGUCCAUUGAUGCUAGUUCUUCACAGAUCUGAUGGUGAUCUACGCAUCGAUGGUUCAAUUGACACCAGUUCUUCACAGAUCUGAUGGAGAUCUAUACUCGGAUAAUGGUUUUGUGGAGAUCCACGGUGCAGAGGUGCGAUCUUAUCGUCCGUUUUGGUUCCGGAUAAUUCAUUGAGAUGUCCUAUUUUCAUUCGUAAUUCAAGGCUCUGGAGGUACUUUUUGCAGGUGUGGUGCUAGAUCGAUGAAUUACACCGGUUCAACCUUCUAGUUGCUUUCAUGAUUUAUACCUCCAGAUCAACGGCUUUCAGAUACAUGUUGCAGAUCUCAAUUUUUGUAAUUAUAUGAAUGACCGAGAGCUUAAUGGUGGGGUGGGGGAGUUUAAUGGAUGUAGGUUGUUUCAGGAUUUACAUAUCUUGAUUCGCUGAGCGUUUUGAGAAUUGAAUCUUGAUUGAUCUUGUCAUCCGACCUUUGCCAUGUCAGGUGCGCUUGCUUGGCAGGUCAACAAAAUAAUAAAAAAAAUAUUUGUUGGUUUUUGGGAGAGAUCGCACGGGGUUUUUGCCCGGGAUCUCUCCCCUGUGUGGUGUUUGCCUUGCUCCUUUUCUUAUUACUUUUUACUCUCUCGUAUCUCGCUCUAGACAAAUCGACCAUUCGCGGUACACUUGCAUCGAGGAAUUUCUCCACGAGGUAUUAUCUAUCGAAUUUCAGUUCAGUUUAAAUUUCGAAUUUAAGUUAAACAGUUAAAUUAAACUAUCAUUUAAUAAAAUUAUCAAAAUAUAAUUUAAUAAAUCAACGAUGAAAUUAAUUUGUUAACAAAAAUCAACUAUCUUUAUCAACAUCUAUCCAUUGAUUUGAUUGUUUCAUGUCUUUUGACUUUCACACAUCAUUAAUCUAAGUUAAGGUGAAUUGAAUCCCCGACAGAUGGUGGAUUGUUGUAUAUUUUCAUCUCAAAUGUAAAUUGAGUCCCAUUAUCAACAAUUGUAAAGUGCAGUGAUAGGUCAAUUGUUAAAAUUUUAGAGGAUCUUCUCUCAGGAUUCUAUGAAAGGAACGAUCAUAUUGGAUUCCCUAUGCAUGUGUAGAUGCAGUUCUUAAUCAACUUCCAACAUAGCGGCUAUUGGGAUCAUGGAGCCAGUUAGCUACAGCCCACAACUAUCAGUGAAUUCUUUGGCUGUUGCCAUUGUGAGGUUCUAUGCAACAACUAUCAGUUAGGUCUUUGAAGCAUGGGUUACCGUUUAUCCUUACUCUUAAAUCAUUAAGGUGAAGAUGACAUCGACUCUUUCAUCUUAUGCUAAGUAUUCAGUAUUGAAAUUUAUCAUUGCUCUAUUGUCCUAAUGACUCCAUGCACAUUUAAUCAUUUAUCCAUUUAAAUUCAUAGUUUAUUAAUAAUUUGAACUUUGAAGUUAUAAUAUUGACUAUGUUAUAUCCC